rnacentral:rRNA from 1 species
UACAGAGGUCCCAAGCGUUGUUCGGAUUCAUUGGGCGUAAAGGGUGCGUAGGCGGCGCGGUAAGUCGGGUGUGAAAUCUUGGAGCUUAACUCCGAAACUGCAUUCGAUACUGCCGUGCUUGAGGACUGGAGAGGAGACUGGAAUUUACGGUGUAGCGGUGAAAUGCGUAGAUAUCGUAAGGAAGACCAGUGGCGAAGGCGGGUCUCUGGACAGUUCCUGACGCUGAGGCACGAAAGGUCAGGGGAGCAAAACGGG